AGGGAGUCUUCAGCAAGUUCAUACAAGAACAUGUAUGAUAAUAACGUGAGGUACUUCAAUAAAAAUUCAUACGAGACAUCUUAGCAUAACAGCAACAGGAUUUUGAUUUCUAAGGGAGUACGGUUCAAUCUUUCUCAAGAAUAUCAUACGGAUUCUCCCCUACUUCGAUCCGCCAUUACGUGUUUUAUCACAAAAAACAUGUGUUAGAGGGAUUAUCAAGAGAAUCAGUUCAGGUAUGUUAAGUCUGUCCCUUCUUUCUUUUUGGCAUGAUCCAUAUGAUACAAACGAAACGAGUAAAUGCAAAAUUUUCAUAAAUGACUCUAUUAAUAGAAGUACUAGGGGUGUCUAUAUUCUUGAUUUACCAAAUGAAUUAUUAUUAUAUCUUCUUUUCAUGGGUCUCAGAAAAAUACGUAUUUGAUAAAGUUUAUCCGAAAGGCAUAUUGAUCUUAUGACAUACCGAGAAAUCUUAUUAACGUAUUUCUUAUGCAUUUCAUGCAUUUAUACAUGUACACUGACCCAUGACCAGAUGGCGUUAUAUACGCAUAUAUUAUAUGUAUAUGGGAUAUGGAAAAAUGUUAUGGCGUUAUAUGCGCACCACCACCUGAUCAGCUGGUAUACGUUGAUGAUUUGCCCAUAGUGGCCGAGAUGAUAUGAUAGGAUGCCCUUAGAGGCUUGAUGAUGUUAUGAACGCAUAUACCUAUGCAUGGUAUAACAUUUAUACGCAUAUGCAUGAUAUUAUAAAUAUUAAAUGACUCACAAAGCUAUUCAAAUUUGCAUGUCGAGUCUUUUACUCCAUGUCUCUCAUGUCUAUUAUUUACUUAUUUUUAUUCCUUACAUACUCUGUACAUUAUUUGUACUGACGUCCAGUUUUUGCCUGGGGACGCUGCGCUUCAUGCCUGCAGGUUCCGAUAUAUAGGUCGAGAGUCCUCAAAGUAGGCUAUCAGCUCAGCGGGAGAUAUUGGUGUGCUCUAUUUGCUCCGGAGUUGCCUAUUUAGUUAGUAUGCAUUGG
rnacentral:lncRNA from 1 species